CCUACGGGCGGCAGCAGUGAGGAAUAUUGGUCAAUGGACGAGAGUCUGAACCAGCCAAGUAGCGUGAAGGAUGACUGCCCUAUGGGUUGUAAACUUCUUUUAUAAAGGAAUAAAACGAGGCACGUGUGCCUUUUUGCAUGUACUUUAUGAAUACGGAUCGGCUAACUCCGUGCCAGCAGCCGCGGUAAUACGGAGGAUCCGAGCGUUAUCCGGAUUUAUUGGGUUUAAAGGGAGCGUAGAUGGGUUGUUAAGUCAGUUGUGAAAGUUUGCGGCUCAACCGUAAAAUUGCAAUUGAUACGGGCAGUCGUGAGUACAGAUGAGGUAAGCGGAAUUCGUGGGGUAGCGGUGAAAUGCUUAGAUAUCACGAAGAACCCCGAUUGCGAAGGCAGCUUACUAAACUGUGACUGACAUUGAUGCUCGAAAGUGUGGGUAUCAAACAGGAUUAGAUACCCGGGUAGU
rnacentral:rRNA from 1 species